GCCUACAACAUAGCAUUAAUGCAUUGAAUCACAUUAGAACUUCGUGGUUAAGCACGCUCAGGCUAGAUUAGUACUGGGAUGCGUGACUACCAGGGAAGUCCUAGUAUUUUAUGUA
rnacentral:rRNA from 1 species